rnacentral:rRNA from 6 species
UACAAGCCCGCCUCGUGCGGCAAC